rnacentral:rRNA from 1 species
AUGGCCGAAUCACUGCUUCUCCCUGUGGUGGAAGGUCUGGCCGGCAAGGCAGCAGACGUGCUCAUCCAGACCGUGACCCGCAUGUGUGGCCUCGACGACGACCGCGAAACGCUGGAGCGCCAUCUGCGAGCCGUCCGGUGCAAGCUGGCCAACGCGGAGGAAAGGAGCCAGACAAAUGGUGGUGACUACAUCAAGAGCUGGAUGGAGAAGCUCAAGGCCGUCGCCUACGAGGCCGACGACGUCCUCGACGACUUUCAGUACGAGGGGCUGCGCCGUGAAGCCCGGAUCGGCAAGUCCACUUCCCGCAAGGUACUCGGCUAUGUCAAAUACCACAGCCCGUUGCUCUUCCGUUUCGCCAUGAGCAGGAAGCUCAAGGGUGUCCUUGAUAAGAUCAGGGAGCUAGUUGAGGAGAUGAAUAUGUUUGGUCUUGAGAAUUCUGUCCAUCGUCAGGAGCCACAACUUCCUUGGCGGCAGACUCACUCCAAACUGGAUGAGUCUACCGACAUCUUUGGAAGAGAUGAUGACAAGGAGAGGGUGGUUAAGCUGCUGCUAGAGCAGCAACAUCAGCAGAAGGUUCAGGUGCUGCCCAUCUUUGGUAUGGGAGGUCUUGGCAAGACAACACUUGCUAAGAUGGUGUACAACGACCAAAAGGUCCAGCAGCAUUUCCAGUUGAAGAUGUGGCACUGCGUGUCAGACAAUUUUGAUGUUUCUGCUAUUUUGAAAUCCAUCAUUAAAUUGGCUAAUGGAACUUGUGACCAGGCUGACAGCAUCCAAAUAUUGCAAAAGAAACUUGAUGAAGUCAUUGGCCGCAAAAGGUUUUUUCUUGUUCUCGAUGAUGUAUGGAAUGAAGAGAAGAGGAUGUGGGAAGAUGAAUUGAAGCCACUAUUGUGUUCUGUUGGUGGACAAGGAAGCGUUAUUGUGGUCACAUGUCGAAGCAAGCAAGUGGCCACUAUAAUGGCCACUCUUAAGCCCCAUGAGCUAGCAUUUCUUGGUGAAGAAGAUUCAUGGGAAUUAUUUUCAAACAAAGCAUUUAGCAGUGGUGUAGAGGAGCAAGCAGAGUUAGUCACCAUAGGAAGACGUAUUGUCAAUAAAUGCGGGGGGUUGCCUCUUGCUCUGAAGACAAUGGGUGGAUUGCUAAGUUCGAAGCAACAUGUAGAGGAAUGGAAGACCGUCGAAGGAAGUAACAUUGGGGAUAAUGUUGGGGGCAGGCAUGAGGUCAUGCCCAUACUAAAGUUAAGCUACAACCACUUGUCAUCUGAAAUGAAGCAAUGUUUUGCAUUCUGUGCAGUUUUUCCCAAGGAUUAUGAGAUGCAAAAGGAUAUGUUGAUCCAACUAUGGAUGGCAAAUGGGUUUAUUAAAGAAGAGGCGACAAUGGAUUUAACACAGAAAGGAGAAUGCAUUUUCCAUGAAUUGGUUUGGAGGUCCUUCCUGCAAGAUUUGAAAGUUGUAGACAGUUUUUUCCCAGGAUAUGAGAAAGUAGUAUGUAAAAUGCAUGACUUAAUGCAUGACUUAGCCAGAAAUGUUAGCAAUGAUUGUGCCACCAUAGAAGAAUUGAUUGAACAGAAAGCAUUCUUAAAAAGUGUCUGCCACCUGCAAAUGUCAAUGGAUAAUUCAAAAGAGACCUAUGAUGUUCUAAAUGGCAACACAUCUCCCCGCACUUUGUUAGCUCCUUCAUUGAUGUACCAGGACUUUAAACGGCUGUCACAUGCAUCAUUGCGAGCAUUGCAUCGGCGGGGUUUGUUUCACACCAGUUUCAGUUUCGUAAAUGCAAAACAUUUACGGUAUCUUGACCUCUCCAAUUGUGACGUCAAUGCUAGAUUGCUGGAUUCAGUAUGCCUAUUGUAUAACCUGCAAACGUUGAGGCUGAAUAAUUGCAAUGGACUGAGGCAGUUACCAGAAGAUAUGAUGAUGAGCCUGAGGAAGCUCAUACAUCUUUUUCUUUUUGGAUGUCAGUUGCGGCGGAUGCCUCGAAAGAUUGGUCAGCUGGUCAACCUUCGAACACUAACAACAUUUAUUGUGGAUACUAGAGAUGGUUGUGGCAUUGAGGAGCUCAAAGACUUGCGACACCUUAGCAACAGGUUGGAACUUUACAACUUGAGAAAAAUAAAAAGUGCCGAGCAUGCAAAAGAAGCCAAUCUCCAGCAAAAGCAAAAUCUGACUGAGUUGUUGUUCUGUUGGGGCCUUAAUAAAUAUGGCAUGCCCGAAAAUGAGACAUAUAGUGAGGAUGAAGUGUUACAUCAUCUAGAACCUCAUAGCAAGAUCCAAAUUUUGGAGUUACAUGGAUGUGGUGGCUUAGAAAUGCCACAAUGGAUGAGAGAUCCUCAAAUGCUUCAGUGUUUAAGAAAACUCACAAUUACCAAAUGGACAAGGUGUAAGAAUAUACCUGUAGUAUGGCUGUCAACUUCACUGGAGUUCUUACAUUUGGGCAGAAUGGAUGAACUCAAGACAUUAUGUGGUAACCUUUGCAUAGAAGGUGGAGGACGCAGUACCCCUCUACAAAUUUUCCCGAAGUUGAAGGACAUGGUCUUGAGAGAGCUAUCUAGUCUAGAGGGAUGGGCAGAUAACAGUGUGGGUGUGUCUAUUGAUAGCUCAGUAAUUUUCCCGGUGCUUGAGAAGCUAGAAAUCUGCCACUGCCCUAAGGUUACAAGUUUACCACAGAGCCCCGUUCUCAAAGACCUGGAUUUAGCAGGAUGUUACUUGGAAGUGGAGUGUGUAUGGGAUAUUCCAAGGUUGCCUACAUCCCUUGAAAAUUUGUGGAUUCAAGACUUCGAAGGUUUGGUGGCGCUGCCUUCAAACCUUGGAGAUCUGGCAAAGCUGAGCUACCUGGUGGUUUAUAGCUGCAUGGCCCUGAAAGGGUUGCCUGAUGGGAUGGAUGGCCUCACUUCUCUUCGGAAAUUGGAGAUCAUUGAUUGUCCAGCGAUAGAGGAAUUCCCGAAUGGUCUCCUUCAGCGGUUGCCAGCCCUUGACUCCUUAACCAUAUUUGGCUGCCCCGAGUUGGAAAGACGAUGCAGAGAAGGCGGGGAGUGUUUCCAGCACUUGUCUCCUAUACCAUGUAAAAGAGGAUUCAGAACUGGAGCUCCAGAAGUAGAAGCAGAAUCCACAAUUAUAGCACCAGAAGCAGAAACCAGCGGAAAGAAGUUUCUAAGAAGGCUCCUCCCCUCCUGUGCUCACUCGAAGUCUGGUGCCACAUUCUGUACACAUUUUUUGGACAAGUAUGUGCCUUUUUCUGGACAAGUAUAUCUCAUUGCUUACUGCUCUGUGCCGAAAUAG